AGAGUAUAACUCAGUGGUAUAGUUCAUGCUUAGCAUGCACGAGGUCAUGGGUUCGAUCCCCAGUACCUCUG
rnacentral:tRNA from 1 species